GUCCACGCGGUAAACGAUGAAUACUAGGUGUUGGGGACAAAGUCCUUCGGUGCCGCCGCAAACGCAUUAAGUAUUCCACCUGGGGAGUACGUUCGCAAGAAUGAACUCAAAGGAAUUGACGGGACCCGCACAAGCGGUGGAGCAUGUGGUUUAAUUCGAAGCAACGCGAAGAACCUUACCAAGUCUUGACAUCGAUUCGACGGGAGUGUAAUGACUCCUUUCCUCGGGGACGAAGAAGACAGGUGGUGCAUGGUUGUCGU
rnacentral:rRNA from 1 species